rnacentral:lncRNA from 1 species
AACAACUUUCUGAUGUUACUAUCCCUGUUGUUCAGUGAGGAAACUGAGACUUAUAGAGGUUAAUUAGCAAUGGUUGCCCAGCUAAAGAGGGUUUAAAAAGUUGAAAUUUAGUUAGAUAUAUCUAAUUCCAAAUAUUUGCUGCUUACCACAGUAAUCUCUUCCUUGAAAUCAUAAGUAGAUUAUAACAUGGAUCAUUGCUAUACAGGUUUGGCAGGCUAUGGGUCAAAUCAUAUUUCCUUUUUUUUUUUAAUUGAAGUAGAGUUGAUUUACACUAUUAUUUCAAGGUACAACAGUGAUUCAGUAUCAAAUAAUAUUUCCUUAUAUAAAUAUUUACAUAUUUUAUUUUUAUUACAUAUUUUAUUUUAUUAAAGCAUGAAAGCAUGACCAAAAAAUGUAAAUGGCUAACCUAUACCAUAAGCAUUAAUACUAUGGCAUCUUAACUGAAUUUUACUGAAGUUAUGUAUUUAGCAAGUUGCCUCAAAUCCAAGAAAUAAGGUAUAAUCAUAAGUUUUUACACUUAAAGAUAAUUCUUGUUGCUCACAUUUGAUGAGAUAAAAAAUGAUUGAUUGUGAAAGAGAGAAAAUGUAUUUAUUGAUUGUGGUACCUUUACUAAUACAAUGAAGUCUCACCAUAGUACUGGUGAGCCCGUAUCAUGGAGCCUUUAUGGGUAAAAUACCUUGUAAUGAAACCUGCUUAAGCCUUCCAUUUCUAGCCACCCAAAUAUGAUUUUUAAGAAGUAUUUGUUUUUCAUCAAAUUUUGCUUUAAGGUAAGCGGCUUUAUAAAAUAUUUCCAUUUCAUUUCUUGCAUCUUAAUAAAAAUGAAUGAACAGUGACAUUAUUAUGAUUAAAUAGGUUGAUAAAUUUUAUAUUUAUUUAGGUGUAAUAUCCAGCUAUUGAUAAUUGUAACUUGCAGUGACCAUACUUCUCCCAUUUUUAGCAUCAUUUAAUUUCAUGUGUAUUUUUCCUUCUACUUCUUUUCCAUAAACUGAAAUCUGAAAGUUUCUAUAAAUUUAUUUUUAGAAAAUGUUCUAUCCCUAAUUUUUCAUUUAACAAAAAAAUAUUUAUCUCCACAAAUAAGACACUGGAGAAAAUAUCAAGGCUUAUGUGACCACUUUAAUUAUAAUUGCCCAUUCUGUAAAUUAAAUGUAAAACACAAAGGUAGCCUGAGAAGUUAAAUAGUCUUGUCUGAUGGGCAAUCAUGGCAUAUAAUCUGUAUCAGGUAAAUCCCUCCAACUUCCUUCUACCAAUGAGCAUCUGUGGUCCUGCGGUUUCACAUGUACAGAAAGAUUGUAAAGUGUAACCCUGUGUCCUGAUAAGUAUUUGCUUAUCACUCACUUUGUUGCGAAAUGCACUCAAUAGUGCAAAAGACUAUUGAACGCACUCAUUACAGCAAAUAAAUGAAAGAUUGCUUUUCCCUGAGGGGCCUUUGCAGAUCCCUUUUUUCAUUGAAAGUCACCUUUUUUCUUUGCCCUCCUGAACUAAUACUCUCAAGUAUGAUUAAAGGGGGGAAAAAAAACACUUAAUAAUAACAUUGAAUUUAGGAACCUUACAUUUACAUUUUUAUUUGACAUAUUUUGGAAAACUUGGCUAUAUCACACUAGAAUUGUUUGUGGCUAAAGUAUUACUUUUGUCAGCUUCUGUAUCUUGCAUAUUGAGAUCAUUUAUAAUUUAAAACUUGAAAUACAACUUGAAUUAGAUCUCACAGAUUGAUUUACUCUUUGGGAAGCUGUUUAGCUUAUUACUCAGACUUAUGAAGUUUGACAAAAAGGUAUUGCUACCACAGGAGUCUUUGCUACAAAUGGCUGCAAUGGAGCAUUUUAUGAUAAUGUAUGUAAUUUAUUUUUAUAUGAAUAUCAGGUACUUUUCUUCUAUUUUUUUUUCAUACAAGUAAUAUGCAUUAAAAGCACUGCUCUAAAGAAAUCCAUGCAAGUGCUUUGAACAUCUAGCUUGGAUUUCACAAAUGUAUUUGCUAGAUAUCUUUGCCUGACCAUUGUGUUACCUGACUCCAGAUGGCAUGACCUUGUAUCUUCUAUUUUAAAACACAUUCACGUUUCAAUAAGAAGCAAAGAAUAUGAUCAAAUUUAUAAAAAGACUUCAGGGUUUUUAAAUGUAGCAAAUUGUACAUUAGUCUUGACCUUUUUUUAAGAGUCAGCGGGGGGUGCCCUCUCUCUGUCCUUUGGUCCCCAAAGGAAGUGCCAUUCUCACAGUCACAGAUAACAGGGUCAAACGGGUCCUAUAACUGAGGCCAGAACAGAGUCAGGAGAUCUGUUUUAACUGGCUUUUCUAUUUGUAUCAGUCUAUGGAGCCCUAUACUUGUGCUUGACUGACAGAGAGAUGACGUUAUUGUUGGUAGUGUAGAGCCCUCUGAGGUGUGAAAUACGAUGCCAUUGUGCAGCCUGUUCUGUCCUAUCCACCUUCAACAAUUGUCAGCCUAACGUGAAGCUCAGCAUCUUGUGGACAGAUGAAUGAAGCAGACUUAGCCAAGUUUAGCUUACAAUGCUAUUUCUGCCAGUGUGGUAGAUGAAUUAGGAAAAGAAAUCUCUGUAGAACUUUUAGAUGAGAACUCUGAUACCUUUACUCCAUGUUGAAAAAAAAUAUGACUUUUAAAUCAAUAGUAAAUUUUUUCCAGAUACUCUCAUAACCACAAUUUAUAAUGACUACCUUAUACACGUUGCUUAAUGUACCAAUUCUCAUACCAGCCCUGUGAACUAGAGAUAUAUUAUACCCAUUUGACAGAGGAGGAGACUGAGGGUUAGUCAAGUACAUUAGCCCGAGGACUCACAUGUGAUAGGAGGCAGAAUCAGAGCUGGAAGCCAGGUCUGAGUGUCUUCGAAGUCCAUUUCUAUCUCCCCCAUAUUUCUACAAGUUGUUUUUCAGGCAAGUAAGCUUGAAAUGUUAUCAUCCUCUUUGCAGGUAUCUUCUUUGUUGUAUCUUACCCCACUUUCUUUCCUCCUUUUUCUUUUUCUUUUUUUGCUUUGUAGGGCCGUACCCACAGUAUAUGGAAGUACCCAGGCCAGGGGUCAAAUUGGAGCUGUAGCUGCCUGCUUAUGUCACAGACACAGCCACACAGGAUCCGAGCUGCAUCUGCAACCUACGCCACAGCUCACGGCAACACCAGAUCCUUAAUCCACCGAGUGAGGCCAGGGAUUGAACCUGUAUCCUCAUGGAUCCUAGUCAGGUUGGUUAACCUCUGAGCCACAGAGGGAGCUCCAUUACCCUAUGUUCUACUAUCUGAGAUUCAUUUUAGGCUUUUCUUAGUUUUCUGUAGAUCUCACAUCUCAUAUGUGAUCUUUCAUACUGCUCUUUACUAAAGACAAAUUUGUGAAUCAUCUAAUUCUUAUCUACUUCAAGUAAAUUGUGUGCAGAUAUGAGUGUUGGCCCUUGAGUUGAGAAAACUGAGUAUAAAAUUGUUAGGGAGUUUUUUCAGCAAAUGUUCCUUUAAUUGCUUUUGUAUAUUUUUGUUUAAUUAUUAAAAUAUUUUCUAUUUCUAUUUGAGCUCAAAGAGUGUGCUUUUGAAUGUGUGGUUACUGUUACUUUUUCUAUAAUAAUAUGUCAUUGUUGAUGGAGGGGGCAAACCACUUAUCUUGUAGGAAAUGGUGUUGCCACAAAAUACCAGGAUGGCUUGAUUAAUUCAGAGGUCGUCACCAUAACAAACCAGAGGAAGAACUGGACAAACCUGGGGAAUUAAUUUAUGUUGGUGGCUGUUUGGGAGGAGAGUUGUAGUAGAAUGACCAUAGGUUGUCAGAGAUGGGUAGUUCAUUCUGGGACCCUACACACAGAUUUGCCUCCUGGAACAAAAGGUAGAUAAAGAGAUAUGACUAUAAUUCUUACUUAGAAUAGAUUCCCCAGUGUCUUUUCCCGUCUUCUGUUUUGAGUGGGUCAAGCUGCCACGUUUGAAGAAGGAAUAUGUGUUCAGUGGCAAUUUGUUUCAAUCCUGCCUCUGAUACUGUUUGUGUAGAUUUAGAUCCAGAUUAAGCAGAACUUUGAAAUUCUUGAAGGGGCAGAGAUAAUGGAUAAAGAUCCCCCAAAAUUGAAAUAAAUAAAGGGGUUAAACUGAAAAGAGAAGAAAAAAAGAGGAGGAGGAUGGGGGGAAAUAGACAUACAAAAAUAUUGACAGUAUAUUUUCUGCAAGGAUUAUUCUUUCUUGUGGUUUAUUUCUGGAUACCAUCUGUUUUAGAACAACUUUAGCUGUUAUAACAGACAAAUUCUGAGAUGUUAGUGGCUUGCCACAAUAGACAUUUAUUUCUUAUACAGAGUGAAGGGCAAGGCUUCUUGCACGGAUCCAGACACAGAGACUCUGCCAUCUUUCAUAUGCGUGUUCUGAGGUUACCCUGGGCAUAAGCUUACAGUGUUCAGAUAAAAUAAAUAACGAUAAUGGAGGGUCAGAUGGGAGGAUUCUUUUGGCCAGCACUAGAAGUACAAGAUUUUAUGGUUUAGAGUACCUCUGACCGCAUUCCUUUGGCAAGUGUCAAGUCAAAUUAUCAUACCUACCUGCAAGGGAGAGAGAGAAAAAUGUAGCUGUGGGCUCAGAAGAAAAAGUAAACAAAGUUGGUUAACAGCCAAUGCCUGAUGCCCUGUCUGGAAAUCAUUUCUUAAGAAAUUAAGAGAACCAGAAAUCCCCAAAGAGAUGUACAUAGGUAUGUCACUUGGGAAAUAAUGAAACCUCUGUCUUUAGUGUGGAGUUCCCGUCAUGGCACAGUGGUUAACGAAUCCGACUAGGAACCAUGAGGUUGCGGGUUCAAUCUCUGGCAUUGCUCAGUGGGUUAAGGAUCCGGCGUUGCCAUGAGCUGUGGUGUAGGUCACAGACGCAGCUUGGAUCCCGUGUUGCUGUGGCUCUGGUGUAGGCAGGUGGCUGCAGCUCCGAUUCAACCCCUAGCUUGGGAACCUCCAUGUGCUGCAGGAGCAGCCCUAGAAAAGG